GGUUAAGUGACUAAGCGUACACGGUGGAUGCCUUGGCAGUCAGAGGCGAUGAAAGACGUAGUAACUUGCGAUAAGCCCAGAUUAGGUAGUAACAACCAUUUGAGUCUGGGAUUUCUGAAUGGGGAAACCCACGUGCAUAAGCACGUAUCCUUACCUGAAUACAUAGGGUAAGGAGGCGAACCGGGGGAACUGAAACAUCUAAGUACCCCGAGGAAAAGAAAUCAACCGAGAUUCCGAAAGUAGCGGCGAGCGAAAUUGGACUAGCCCUUAAGCUUUACACGCGUUAGACGAACGGUCUGGAAAGUCCGACGAUACAGGGUGAUAGUCCCGUAGUUGACGACGUGUGUUCAGUGAAAUCGAGUAGGGCGGGACACGUGAUAUCCUGUCUGAAUAUGGGGGGACCAUCCUCCAAGGCUAAAUACUACUGACUGACCGAUAGUGAACCAGUACCGUGAGGGAAAGGCGAAAAGAACCCCUGUGAGGGGAGUGAAAUAGAACCUGAAACCGUGUACGUACAAGCAGUAGGAGCAGGCUUGUCCUGUGACUGCGUACCUUUUGUAUAAUGGGUCAGCGACUUAUAUUCAGUGGCAAGGUUAACCAUCUAGGGGAGCCGUAGGGAAACCGAGUCUUAACUGGGCGUUCAGUCUCUGGAUAUAGACCCGAAACCAGGUGAUCUAGCCAUGGGCAGGUUGAAGGUUGAGUAACAUCAACUGGAGGACCGAACCGACUAAUGUUGAAAAAUUAGCGGAUGACUUGUGGCUAGGGGUGAAAGGCCAAUCAAACCUGGAGAUAGCUGGUUCUCCCCGAAAGCUAUUUAGGUAGCGCCUCGGACGAAUACUACUGGGGGUAGAGCACUGUUAAGGCUAGGGGGUCAUCCCGACUUACCAACCCUUUGCAAACUCCGAAUACCAGUAAGUACUAUCCGGGAGACACACGGCGGGUGCUAACGUCCGUCGUGGAGAGGGAAACAACCCAGACCGCCAGCUAAGGUCCCAAAUUACUACUAAGUGGGAAACGAUGUGGGAAGGCUCAGACAGCCAGGAUGUUGGCUUAGAAGCAGCCAUCAUUUAAAGAAAGCGUAAUAGCUCACUGGUCGAGUCGGCCUGCGCGGAAGAUGUAACGGGGCUAAGUAGUAAACCGAAGCUGCGGCAAUAUACUUUUGUAUAUUGGGUAGGGGAGCGUUCUGUAAGCGGUUGAAGGUGUGUGGUAACGCAUGCUGGACGUAUCAGAAGUGCGAAUGCUGACAUGAGUAACGAUAAAGGGGGUGAAAAACCUCCUCGCCGGAAGACCAAGGGUUCCUGUCCAACGUUAAUCGGGGCAGGGUAAGUCGACCCCUAAGGCGAGGCCGAAAGGCGUAGUCGAUGGGAAACGGGUUAAUAUUCCCGUACUUCUUACAAUUGCGAUGGGGGGACGGAGAAGGCUAGGUGGGCCUGGCGACGGUUGUCCAGGUUCAAGUGCGUAGGCUUAAGAGUUAGGUAAAUCCGGCUCUUUCUAAGGCUGAGACACGACGUCGAGCACCUACGGGUGUGAAGUCAUUGAUGCCAUGCUUCCAGGAAAAGCCUCUAAGCUUCAGAUUGUAAGGAAUCGUACCCCAAACCGACACAGGUGGUCGGGUAGAGAAUACCAAGGCGCUUGAGAGAACUCGGGUGAAGGAACUAGGCAAAAUGGUACCGUAACUUCGGGAGAAGGUACGCUCUUGAUGGUGAAGUCCCUCGCGGAUGGAGCUGACGAGAGUCGCAGAUACCAGGUGGCUGCAACUGUUUAUUAAAAACACAGCACUGUGCAAAAUCGUAAGAUGACGUAUACGGUGUGACGCCUGCCCGGUGCCGGAAGGUUAAUUGAUGGGGUUAGACUUCGGUCGAAGCUCUUGAUCGAAGCCCCGGUAAACGGCGGCCGUAACUAUAACGGUCCUAAGGUAGCGAAAUUCCUUGUCGGGUAAGUUCCGACCUGCACGAAUGGCGUAAUGAUGGCCACGCUGUCUCCACCCGAGACUCAGUGAAAUUGAAAUCGCUGUGAAGAUGCAGUGUACCCGCGGCUAGACGGAAAGACCCCGUGAACCUUUACUACAGCUUGGCACUGAACAUUGACCCUACAUGUGUAGGAUAGGUGGGAGGCUUUGAAGCACGUACGCCAGUAUGUGUGGAGCCGUCCUUGAAAUACCACCCUUGUAGUGUUGAUGUUCUAACGU
rnacentral:rRNA from 1 species